GACCACUCUGGUGGCCUAGUGGUUAGAGCUUCCACCUUAAAUGUGGGAGGUUGUGGGUUCGAACCCCAGUAGAGUCA